rnacentral:rRNA from 1 species
UACGUAGGGGGCUAGCGUUGUCCGGAUUUAUUGGGCGUAAAGAGCGUGUAGGCGGCCAGGUAGGUCUGCUGUGAAAACUCGAGGCUCAACCUCGAGAGGUCGGCGGAAACCAUCUGGCUAGAGUCCGGAAGAGGAGAGUGGAAUUCCUGGUGUAGCGGUGAAAUGCGCAGAUAUCAGGAAGAACACCCGUGGCGAAGGCGGCUCUCUGGGACGGUACUGACGCUGAGACGCGAAAGCGUGGGGAGCGAACAGG